rnacentral:rRNA from 1 species
AGUAAAAGUCGUAACAAGGUUUCCGUAGGUGAACCUGCGGAAGGAUCAUUAAUAGAGUAAGGGCGAAGCUGUAAAAGGCCGAGCUCUGACCUCCACCCUUGAAUAAACUACCUUCGUUGCUUUGGCGGGUCGCCUCGUGCCAGCGGCUUCGGCUGUUGAGUACCCGCCAGAGGACCACAACUCUUGUUUUUAGUGAUGUCUGAGUACUAUAUAAUAGUUAAAACUUUCAACAACGGAUCUCUUGGUUCUGGCAUCGAUGAAGAACGCAGCGAAAUGCGAUAAGUAAUGUGAAUUGCAGAAUUCAGUGAAUCAUCGAAUCUUUGAACGCACAUUGCGCCCUCUGGUAUUCCGGGGGGCAUGCCUGUUCGAGCGUCAUUAUAACCACUCAAGCUCUCGCUUGGUAUUGGGGUUCGCGUCUUCGCGGCCUCUAAAAUCAGUGGCGGUGCCUGUCGGCUCUACGCGUAGUAAUACUCCUCGCGAUUGAGUUCCGGUAGGUUUACUUGCCAACAACCCCCAAUUUUUUAAGGUUGACCUCGGAUCAGGUAGGGAUACCCGCUGAACUUAAGCAUAUCAAUAAGCGGAGGA